UACAGGAGGGGCAAGCGUUGUUCGGAAUUACUGGGCGUAAAGGGCAUGCAGGCGGUCGGACGCGUUUUUGUGUGACAGCGGAUGGCUUACCUCUCCGAGCAUACGAAAGACGGUUGGACUUGAGGACUCGAGAGGGACACGGAAUUCCGGGUGUAGCGGUGGAAUGCGUAGAGAUCCGGAAGAACACCGGUGGCGAAGGCGGCCUGCUGGGCAGUUGCUGACACUGAGGCGCGACAGCGUGGGGGAGCAAACAGG
rnacentral:rRNA from 1 species